CUCGCGGGAGUUGGGGCUAGGGGAGGAAGUGUUGCUGUGCGCUGUGAGAAUGAGAUUGUAUCCCUCGGUGGAUCCUGCUCGCAGAGGCCAGAGGUUUACAGACCUGGCCACGUGAGAGCCCACCGAGGCAUUUUGGAGGUCCUGGAAUUUACCCUUUAAGAUAAGUGUGGGGUGAGGUGGAGCUGGAUGAUAAUAAAGAGAAGUAGGUUGACGUAUUUUUAAUUCUGAUACGAUGGAUGUUGGGGGGAGAGAAAAACUUAUUUGGGGGCUAAGUUAAAAACAGAAAAGAAAAGCAACCCCUCACUACCACCCACACAUAUAUGCCAAAAUGUUAGCUAGUUCCUGUGAGUGGUGGGAAUAUGGGUGCUUGAAUAUCACUUUUGUGUGCGCGCGCUUCUGGAACCCCUGGGGGGUGGGGGGAACCCGUCCUCUAAAAUAAAAUGUCAUUCCUAUCUUUGGAUUAUCUUUCUUGAACUCGCAAAGUUAUGUAAUCAUCGGAACGGUUACCCUGAUUCCAGCCUGAGCCAAGUUGAACGAGAGCGUGCAGCAGAUAAAAGGAGAAUUUGCACAUUUCGCGCUUCGGGGCCCCAGGGCGGAAGAGGAAAGCGACUUUACGGAGGCAGGCUGUUCAGGCGGGUCCCGGGCUCUGCAGACUCCCAGAGGAACUUAGCCCCUUCCUUCCGCGGAGAGAUUCAUUUUGUUUCUCAAGACACGCUGGAUGCACGGAUUCCCUUUCCCGGAUGCCAUCGAGGUGACUGCCACCUGGGCAUCCAUUCACCCUCGACUGCUGAGGUUCAGGGCUCCCCUGACUCCUCAGCUGCACACUCCACUGUCCAGUCACCAACUCGCUCUCCCGUGCUAAGGCUGUGCCCACCAGAAGUCACACGAAGUCAGCCUAAGGCACUGAGCCCAGUUGAUGACUCUUGGGAUUGGUGCCCAGCGCUGCUGUGAACAUCUGCCUGUGGAGGUCACGAUGGCUCUUGCCCAACUCCAGGAGACCUUGGGCUCCUCCCGGGCAGGGUGUAUCAUUGCUAUGGCAUUUGGAGCAGGAGUAUGAAAGACCGAGAUUCACUACGUGGACAAAUAGUUAUGGAACACCUACUGUGCCAGACAUUGUUCUGGGCGGUGAAGCAGGGGUUGAGUAAGUCAGACAAGGCCUUUCUUUCAUGGAGAGUCAUUGGUAAGCCAGACAGACAAUAAACAAAGAUGCAAAUAAAAAUUUCAGCUUCUGAUAAGUGUCAGGGAAAAAAAAAAAAAGAAUACUGAACUCAUUUUCUUACUGUGUGCCAAAAAUUAUCUCAUUGCAUCUUCAAGACAACCCCAGGGAGUAUGUACUAUUCCUAGCACCCCAUUUUACAGAUGAAGAAAUCAAGGCACAGAGAGGCUAAUUGCUGAAGGCCACACAGCUGGGAAAUAAGAGAGCAAGACUGGAACUCAGGACAGCCUGGAAGCACAGCCCUGUUUUGUAUUCAGUAAAUCUAUAUAGCAAAGAUCCAGAGGCUGUCACAAGCCCUGACACACAUUAGACAUAGCAUCAUUGUGGAACCAGAUGGGAUGACUGGUUGAAACGUGCUUGCGCCCACAGUAAAUGUGCCAUGGUUUUCCCUAUGCAAAA